GCGCCUGUAGCUCAGGUGGAUAGAGCGUUGGCCUCCGAAGCCAAAGGCCCUCUCAGGCGCACCA
rnacentral:tRNA from 1 species